UGAGGAAUAUUGGUCAAUGGGCGAGAGCCUGAACCAGCCAAGUAGCGUGCAGGAUGACGGCCCUAUGGGUUGUAAACUGCUUUUAUAUGGGAAUAAAGUGAGGGACGUGUCCCUUAUUGCAUGUACCAUAUGAAUAAGGACCGGCUAAUUCCGUUCCAGCAGCCGCGGUAAUACGGAAGGUCCAGGCGUUAUCCGGAUUUAUUGGGUUUAAAGGGAGCGUAGGCUGUUUGUUAAGCGUGUUGUGAAAUGUAAGAGCUCAACUUUUAGAUUGCAGCGCGAACUGGCAGACUUGAGUGCGCACAACGUAGGCGGAAUUCAUGGUGUAGCGGUGAAAUGCUUAGAUAUCAUGACGAACUCCGAUUGCGAAGGCAGCUUACGGGAGCGCAACUGACGCUAAAGCUCGAAGGUGCGGGUAUCGAACAGG
rnacentral:rRNA from 1 species